rnacentral:rRNA from 1 species
UACGUAGGGUCCGAGCGUUGUCCGGAAUUACUGGGCGUAAAGAGCUCGUAGGCGGUUUGUUGCGUCGGCUGUGAAAUCCCGAGGCUCAACCUCGGGUCUGCAGUCGAUACGAGCAAACUAGAGUGUUGCAGGGGAGACUGGAAUUCCUGGUGUAGCGGUGAAAUGCGCAGAUAUCAGGAGGAACACCGGUGGCGAAGGCGGGUCUCUGGGCAACAACUGACGUGGAGGAGCGAAAGCGUGGGGGAGCGAUCCGG